GAAAACUUAAAAACAUGAAAAUUCUCAGGCGAGUUCUGGAGUUACGCGGAGCGUCUGUGGUUUCUUAAGGAUGUUUAUUCGCGAUAUAUCGGAGAUAAUGACAUCCUCUGAAAACGGAUUUGCAUGAAGAGGUGAGGCCAGAAGAAGACAGCUGCAUGCUCCCAGGGGUUUCUCAUUAUCCCCGGAUUAAUGGAGGAAUUCAAGAGGAUCACAGCUGCAGCUCCAUGACGGACUACAAAGAUCCAAGGUAAAACGAUGGAUGCUCUCUUCCUGAUUCAAAUUUAACCUUUAAACUUAUCUUAA